rnacentral:rRNA from 1 species
CGGCCAGACUCCUACGGGAGGCAGCAGUGGGGAAUAUUGGACAAUGGGGGGAACCCUGAUCCAGCGACGCCGCGUGAGUGAAGAAGUAUUUCGGUAUGUAAAGCUCUAUCAGCAGGGAAGAAAGAAAUGACGGUACCUGACUAAGAAGCCCCGGCUAACUACGUGCCAGCAGCCGCGGUAAUACGUAGGGGGCAAGCGUUAUCCGGAUUUACUGGGUGUAAAGGGAGCGUAGACGGCGAUGCAAGUCUGAAGUGAAAGGCGGGGGCCCAACCCCCGGACUGCUUUGGAAACUGUAUGGCUGGAGUGCAGGAGAGGUAAGUGGAAUUCCUAGUGUAGCGGUGAAAUGCGUAGAUAUCAGGAGGAACACCGGCGGCGAAGGCGGCCUGCUGGACCGUGACUGACGUUGAGGCUCGAGAGCGUGGGGAGCAAACAGGAUUAGAUACCCUCGUAC